GGAAGUCCACCCGCCGAGGACGGAAGUGGCGAGCGCGGUCUCCUGGGCCCGAGCCCGAGAGACAGGACUCACCCUGCGUGAAGCCGCAAAAAAAUCCUACCCCGGAAACACCUGUCGCUGCGGGCGGUGCUGCGGUUGGACGGUUACUGUUUCCCGGGGUACAGUGGAUAAUAAUAGGCUCUUUGAUGGGAGAAGCACCUGUGUGUCCUUCUCAGAUGAACUGAAACCUAAAUUCAUUUGUAAAAGUGGGAGAAUUUAACCCCUUCAAGAAUGGUAUUGUUUGAUCAGGGAGCAGAACAAUGCAGCUGCUGGCCCUCACUCCCCGCCCCGCGCAAGGCCAACCCCCACCGGAUCUCUCCGGAUCGCUCCGUCCCAAGGCCAGCCAUCUGGACCAGCAGAAGAUAAGGCCGUUUCGCCUGACUAUUAAACCUUGAGAAAAUGCUGAUUUGAUGCUUUUCGCUUCUGUACUGUGCCUGUUUUCCCUUAUAAAAAGGACCCCCCUUCCGGGGCUCGGGGCUUGG